rnacentral:rRNA from 1 species
GACGACUGGGUUGAUAGGCCAGAUGUGGAAGCCCGGUAACGGGUGGAGCUGACUGGUACUAAUAGGCCGAGGGCUUGUCCU